GAUGAAGAACGCAGCGAAAUGCGAUACUUGGUGUGAAUUGCAGAAUCCCGUGAACCAUCGAGUCUUUGAACGCAAGUUGCGCCGGAAGCCAUUAGGCCGAGGGCACGCCUGCCUGGGCGUCACACGUCGUUGCCCCCCCAUCUACUCCUUCGGGAUUGCGGGGGGCGGAUGAUGGCCUCCCGUGCGCCUCGUCGCGCGGUUGGCCUAAAUGCCAAGUCCUCGGCGACGCACGCCACGACAAUCGGUGGUUGCGAAACCUCGGUUGCCUGUCGUGUGCGGUCGUCGCGCAUCGAGGGCUCGAAAAAAUUGCCGGGCUUCGGCUCGACUUUCAACGCGACCCCAGGUCAGGCGGGGUUACCCGCUGAAUUUAAGCAUAUCAAUAAGCGGAGGA
rnacentral:misc_RNA from 1 species